rnacentral:rRNA from 1 species
AACGAACGCUGGCGGCAUGCCUAACACAUGCAAGUCGAACGAGAACUUCGGGUCUAGGGGCGCACGGGGGCGUAACGAGUGGGAACCUGCACGUAGGUUCGGAAUACCUCCCCGAAAGGGGUGCUAAUACAGGAUAAUGUCUUAGGACCAAAGAUUUAUCGCUUGGGGAUGGGCGCGCGGCGGAUUAGCUAGUUGGUGGGGUAGAAGCUUACCAAGGCUUCGAUGGGUAGCUGGUCUGAGAGGGUGACCGGCCACAUUGGGACUGAGAUACGGCCCAGACUCCUACGGGAGGCAGCAGUGGGGAAUAUUGCACAAUGGGCGGAAGCCUGAUGCAGCAACGCCGCGUGCGGGAUGACGGCCUUCGGGUUGUAAACCGCUUUCGCCUGUGACGAAGCGUGAGUGACGGUAAUGGGUAAAGAAGCACCGGCUAACUACGUG